CAGAGAACUUGCCCUUAAGGGUAGAUCUCCCACCCUUUGUUAACAUUCCUUUGUUGCUUUGGCAGGCCAGACAAUAGUCUACCGGUUUAGGCUGGCCAGUGCCUGCCAGAGGACCCAAACUCUUAAUAUAAUGUCGUCUGAGUACUAUAAAAUAGUUAAA
rnacentral:misc_RNA from 1 species